rnacentral:rRNA from 1 species
AUUGAACGCUGGCGGCAUGCUUUACACAUGCAAGUCGAACGGUAACAGGUCUUCGGAUGCUGACGAGUGGCGAACGGGUGAGUAAUGCAUCGGAACGUGCCCAGUCGUGGGGGAUAACGCAGCGAAAGCUGUGCUAGUACCGCAUACAAUCUAUGGAUGAAAGCGGGGGACCGUAAGGCCUCGCGCGAUUGGAGCGGCCGAUGUCAGAUUAGCUAGUUGGUGGGGUAAAGGCCCACCAAGGCGACGAUCUGUAGCUGGUCUGAGAGGACGACCAGCCACACUGGGACAGAGACACGGCCCAGACUCCGACGGGAGGCAGCAGUGGGGAAUUUUGGAGAAUGGGCGCAAGCCUGAUCCAGCAAUGCCGCGUGCAGGAAGAAGGCCUUCGGGUUGUAAACUGCUUUUGUACGGAACGAAACGGUCUGGGUUAAUACCCUGGGCUAAUGACGGUACCGUAAGAAUAAGCACCGGCUAACUACGUGCCAGCCGCCGCGGUAA